GCCGGGCGUGGUGGUGCAUGCCUGUAAUCCUAGCUACUUGGGAGGCUGAGGCAGGAGAAUUGCUUGAACCCAGGAGGCAGAGGUUGCAGUAAGUUGAGAUUGUGUUACUGCACUCCAGCCUGGGUGACAGACCGAGACUCUGUCUCAA
ensembl:misc_RNA Metazoa_SRP Metazoan signal recognition particle RNA